rnacentral:rRNA from 1 species
UAAACGACUCUCGGCAACGGAUAUCUCGGCUCACGCAUCGAUGAAGAACGUANCAAAAUGCGAUACUUGGUGUGAAUUGCAGAAUCCCGUGAACCAUCGAGUUUUUGAACGCAAGUUGCGCCCGAAGCCAUUCGGCCGAGGGCACGUCUGCCUGGGCGUCACGC